AGAGUUUGAUCCUGGCUCAGAUUGAACGCUGGCGGCAGGCCUAACACAUGCAAGUCGAGCGGUAACAGGAAUUAGCUUGCUAAUUCGCUGACGAGCGGCGGACGGGUGAGUAAUGCCUGGGAAUAUGCCUUAGUGUGGGGGAUAACUAUUGGAAACGAUAGCUAAUACCGCAUAACGUCUUCGGACCAAAGAGGGGGACCUUCGGGCCUCUCGCGCUAAGAUUAGCCCAGGUGGGAUUAGCUAGUUGGUGAGGUAAAGGCUCACCAAGGCAACGAUCCCUAGCUGGUCUGAGAGGAUGAUCAGCCACACUGGAACUGAGACACGGUCCAGACUCCUACGGGAGGCAGCAGUGGGGAAUAUUGCACAAUGGGGGAAACCCUGAUGCAGCCAUGCCGCGUGUAUGAAGAAGGCCUUCGGGUUGUAAAGUACUUUCAGUCGUGAGGAAGGGUAUGUAGUUAAUAGCUGCAUGUCUUGACGUUAGCGACAGAAGAAGCACCGGCUAACUCCGUGCCAGCAGCUGCGGUAAUACGGAGGGUGCGAGCGUUAAUCGGAAUUACUGGGCGUAAAGCGCGCGUAGGCGGCUAGGUCAGUCGAAUGUGAAAGCCCCGGGCUUAACCUGGGAACUGCACUCGAUACUGCCUGACUAGAGUAUGGGAGAGGGAAGUGGAAUUUCCGGUGUAGCGGUGAAAUGCGUAGAUAUCGGAAGGAACACCAGUGGCGAAGGCGACUUCCUGGCCCAAUACUGACGCUGAGGUGCGAAAGCGUGGGUAGCGAACAGGAUUAGAUACCCUGGUAGUCCACGCCGUAAACGAUGAGAACUAGAUGUCGGGAGGAUCUGCCUCUCGGUGUCGCAGCUAACGCGUUAAGUUCUCCGCCUGGGGAGUACGCCGGCAACGGUAAAACUCAAAGGAAUUGACGGGGACCCGCACAAGCGGUGGAGCAUGUGGUUUAAUUCGAUGCAACGCGAAGAACCUUACCUGCCCUUGACAUCCUCGGAACUUACCAGAGAUGGUUUGGUGCCUUCGGGAACCGAGUGACAGGUGCUGCAUGGCUGUCGUCAGCUCGUGUCGUGAGAUGUUGGGUUAAGUCCCGCAACGAGCGCAACCCUUGUCCCUAGUUGCCAUCAUUUAGUUGGGCACUCUAGGGAGACCGCCGGUGACAAACCGGAGGAAGGUGGGGACGACGUCAAGUCAUCAUGGCCCUUAUGGGCAGGGCUACACACGUGCUACAAUGGCCAGUACAGAGGGUUGCCAACCCGCGAGGGGGAGCUAAUCCCAGAAAGCUGGUCGUAGUCCGGAUCGGAGUCUGCAACUCGACUCCGUGAAGUCGGAAUCGCUAGUAAUCGCGAAUCAGCAUUGUCGCGGUGAAUACGUUCCCGGGUCUUGUACACACCGCCCGUCACACCAUGGAAGUAGGUUGCACCAGAAGUAGGUAGCCUAACCUUCGGGAGGGCGCUUACCACGGUGUGGCUUAUGACUGGGGUGAAGUCGUAACAAGGUAACC
rnacentral:rRNA from 1 species